rnacentral:rRNA from 1 species
GAUGAACGCUGGCGGCGUGCCUAAUACAUGCAAGUCGAGCGAACAGACGAGGAGCUUGCUCCUCUGACGUUAGCGGCGGACGGGUGAGUAACACGUGGAUAACCUACCUAUAAGACUGGGAUAACUUCGGGAAACCGGAGCUAAUACCGGAUAAUAUAUUGAACCGCAUGGUUCAAUAGUGAAAGACGGUUUUGCUGUCACUUAUAGAUGGAUCCGCGCCGCAUUAGCUAGUUGGUAAGGUAACGGCUUACCAAGGCAACGAUGCGUAGCCGACCUGAGAGGGUGAACGGCCACACUGGAACUGAGACACGGUCCAGACUCCUACGGGAGGCCGCAGUAGGGAAUCUUCCGCAAUGGGCGAAAGCCUGACGGAGCAACGCCGCGUGAGUGAUGAAGGUCUUCGGAUCGUAAAACUCUGUUAUUAGGGAAGAACAAAUGUGUAAGUAACUAUGCACGUCUUGACGGUACCUAAUCAGAAAGCCACGGCUAACUACGUG